rnacentral:rRNA from 1 species
AUACGGAGGGUGCAAGCGUUACUCGGAAUCACUGGGCGUAAAGCGCGCGCAGGCGGCCUGAUAAGUUGGAUGUGAAAGCCUACGGCUCAACCGUAGAACUGCAUCCAAAACUGUCAGGCUAGAGUGUGGGAGAGGAAGAUGGAAUUAGUUGUGUAGGGGUAAAAUCCGUAGAGAUAACUAGGAAUACCAAAAGCGAAGGCAAUCUUCUGGAACACUUCUGACGCUGAGGCGCGAAGGCGUGGGGAGCAAACAGGAUUAGAAACCCUUGUAGUCC